AGGAUCCAUCAAAACUCCAACAUCGUCAACAGGAGAAUCUCACAAGGUAGACGACGGUUGUGAGGAAAAAGUAGAUGUGGCUACCCUUCCAGAAUGCCUUUUUAUGUUCCAUAUCUGUGUUUCGAAGAUGGAACGUAACGAACAAAUUAAAAUGACAAUUGACAUUGGAGUAACAACACAAAGCAAGGACAUCUUUCUUGGUAGGAAAGAAAUCUUCCGUCUCCUUGCACAGAAAGAACUUGAACUGCCCCAUAUAUUGACAUAUAUGUCGAAGUUAUAUGAUCGGUGUUGUUUGACUGGAUGCUCUGCUUUGUUUGGGUUUUUAUGCCCAUCGGGGAUAUCCCUUUUUACCGAAUUUAAAAAAGGGGAGUCGAAGAAGGAAAAGAGUGCAAAAGAAGUCGGACGCAAUAUAUUGUAGACACACUAAAAGAAACGGCGGCUAAAGGAAAAAUCUUCAUUGCUCCAUAUAAUGCUCAGUUUCAUUGGGUUUUGUGCGUCAUUGAUCCUUACAAUAACACAGUAUAUUACUUGGAUUCUUUACGUACUCUUGAAUUCAUAGGAACCGAAAAAGGCAUCAUUGGGGAUUUACUUGAAAUCGUUAACACGUGAGUGAGUUUAAUUAAC